GACGAACGCUGGCGGCGUGCUUAACACAUGCAAGUGGAGCGACGAACCAGGGCUUGCCCUGGGGCAGAGCCGCGAACGGGUGAGUAACACGUGGGGAACCUACCCGAAGACUGGGACAACCCGGGGAAACUCGGGCUAAUACCAGAUGUGGUCCCACUACAUAAGUGGUGUGACUAAAGGAAGCUUCGGCCUCCGCUUUGGGAGGGUCCCGCGGCGCAUUAGCUUGUUGGUGAGGUAACGGCUCACCAAGGCUUCGAUGCGUAGCUGGUCUGGGAGGACGAUCAGCCACACUGGGACUGAGACACGGCCCAGACUCCUACGGGAGGCAGCAGUGGGGAAUCUUGCGCAAUGGGCGACAGCCUGACGCAGCAACGCCGCGUGGGGGAAGAAGGCCUUCGGGUUGUAAACCUCUUUCAGGAGGGGCGAAGCUUUGCCGGUGAAUAGCCGUGUGAAGUGACGGUACCUCCACAAGCAGCCCCGGCUAACUACGUGCCAGCCGCCGCAGUAACAC
rnacentral:rRNA from 1 species